rnacentral:rRNA from 1 species
GACGAACGCUGGCGGCGUGCUUAACACAUGCAAGUCGAACGAUAAUCACCAGCUUUCUCCUGUUGUUCGUGUCGCGAGCGUGUGUAACACACGUGUAUCCUCCCCCUUUCACUUGGGUAUACCUUCGGGACACCGUCUCUUACUCCGUAUAAUCGCUCCUCCCGUAUGGUGGUGGUUGAAAGGUUUUGGCGGUUGGGGAUGGACUCGCGGCUUAUCAGCUUGUUGUUGGGGUAUUGGUUUACCAAGGCUAUGACGGGUAGCCGGCCUGAGAGGGUGACCGGCCACACUGGGACUGAGAUACGGCCCAGACUCCUACGGGAGGCAGCAGUGGGGAAUAUUGCACAAUGGGCGAAAGCCUGAUGCAGCAACGCCGCGUGAGGGAUGACGGCCUUCGGGUUGUAAACCGCUUUCAGUAGGGAAGAAGCGAAAGUGACGGUAAUGGGAGAAGAAGCACCGGCUAACUACGUG